UGGGGUGUAAUCACAGAGCAGCUGACACUCCCCACUCACUGCCUGGAGGAGCUUGGCGGUGGGAUCGGGCAAGGCGGGAAAGAUAGGUGUAAAACAAAGCCUGGCACUUAAUUACAGCGCAAAGAUCUCAUUAUAGAGUCUUCUCAGCUCCCCUCCUCGGCUGGCAGCUUGAAGCCUGAGUGACAAAUUGCCUAAGUGGAUGCUGCAAGACCAGCAGGGGCCUGGCUUAUCAUGCAACUUUGUGAAUAUGUGGGAGAGAGGAGCCUUCCAGGCGAUGUUGUGGCCUCCCAGGAACUCCCAAAGCCCCCCUCCCCAGGGUGGCAUCUGGUUUUGGACACUGGUUUCUGUCACUGAGCUCCAGGGACUCAUGUCACACCUGGAAGAACUUUUAGAUUCUGUCUGCCUGGCCAUGUCUUCCAACAGCUGAGAUCAUUGAGGAAGAUGACAACUUCUCCCUGAACAGCCAGGACAGCUUAGGGUCUUCUCACAUGUGGACCUUGAAAUGCACUUCCAUUAUUUUUCUCCAGUAUAUUCAGGGGAAGGGGGCUGGUGAUCAAAGCUUUUGCUGAGCAGGGACAGAAGGGUUGUCACUUGCUUUUUUCUCCGCUGAAACC
rnacentral:lncRNA from 1 species